UGGAAGAUUCUCACCGACUCCUUUCUGGAAAAACAUCGGCUUCUUCUUCCAAGCAAUCAAUCCAAAGUACACCGGUACCGAAGACAGUAUCAUGAGCAUACCGUAUCCUGCGACGAAAGAAAGCACCAAUUAAGGCAUCGAUUCGUAACGAAAAUCACUUCCGACAAACGAUUCCAAUUUCGAAAACGAGCUUGGGAUCGAGAAGUCGACGUUGGGCUCUCACCUGUCUCCACUGGACUAGCGUACAUCGGCACAACAGUGACAAACAACGUGCCGAGGUGUAAAAUGGGAUAUUGAAAAUUUUGCCUCGAAGCAAGUCAAAGUGAGACUUUGUGCGAACAAUCAUUGGCAAAAUGGUUUCAACGAACCCAAGUGACGAAUCCAACGUAGUUGAUCAAAGCGACUAUGUCCGAAGACGCCAAGUAGAGCAUGGAUAGCAGUGCCUGUGGAAGAUCGGAAUUUUAUUUUUUAAGGAUUCUUCGUACGGGGAAAAAAUAGCGAGAGGAAUUUUCGCAGGAUUAGGACUUUGAAAAAUCCUGGCAUCUGGCCCUCGCAUGCUCCGGCGUAAAAGAGGCGAGAGGAGGUCAACAAAAUGCCAUUGACCGCUCCGAAGGUGGACAGUGCCACGAAGACCGGUAUCGUCCAGGCCAUAACUCCGAACAGCUGGUUCGCGUACGUCUG